rnacentral:lncRNA from 1 species
CAGUGAAGUCCCUGCUGGUGAGUUUGUGGUUCGUUUGAAAGGAGUGGACAGCAGCUCCACCUCCAGAAUGACAGCAAGCACCUUCCAGAGACAGGCCUUGACACGGAUCAAGACCUCCAGCAUCUCUGUCACUGUGAGUGUAAUAACCUUCAGUUUUCUUUCCCAUUAGUUUGAUCAUAGACCCAGAUAUUGCUUAAGGUAUCAUCAUGUUGGUUCUAUUCUUCUUUCAUUAGUGCUUCUUUCUAUUAAUUUACACAUUUCUAUCCUUUCACCCUUUCAGGCUCAGGUCAAUAACACCAGCAUAGAGCCAGACUCCACCGUCUCCAUCCCUUUCACUGUCAGCAACACCACCAAUGGAGUUGUUGAUGAAUCUGCAAACGGGACGUUCACAGUACGAGUCAACAAUGACCGCAGCUAUGCUACAUCUUCACCCAGCACUGUCACCAUAGCAGGGGGCAGUGGAGGCAAAGCCAAUGGCACUGUUACUUUGACGGUACCAGCCAAUGCUGCUUCAGGAACAGAUGUGACCCUCACCAUCGAGGUAGAAAAUGCAGCCGCUACUGACAUCAACUUUGAGGUCAUCAGGCUGUCUGUGAUUGCCAGGGUAAGACAAAAACACAGGUUGUAUACUUUGUUGAGAAUGCAUAAUAGAUGAAUAACUUUGUGCAUUUUUUGAAAAUCAGUUGAUGUCUUUCACUCAGCUGCUGAUGAGUUUUAAUUAACAUCCUUUGCUAGCUUAUCCCUCCCAUCUUAUUGUCUGUGCCGGUGACUGAACAACAAAACAACAAAUCUUCAGUUUUUCACUCUUCAAAUUUGUCAAGAGUCAUACCUAAAAUAUCCUCCAUGUUGUUCAUGGAGACUAUUGAAAUAACAUUCGCCCCAUUGUCAACAGGAUGAAAUAUGUUUGGAAUAAAGUUUGUGUUUUGGUUGUCCCUGGUGUCAACGGUUAUGACAAUCAUGUUGUUAGAAAGGUUUUGACCAAUCAGAACCAGGUACUUUACACAACCAGGUAAUAAGAAAGUAUCUCCUUUCCAUCUCUUCCUUUUCGGUGUCUGUCUCCCCAGGUUACAGACAUUACCCGCCCGGUGUGCCAGGAAGUCAACACAAUAAGCAACUGUUCUUCUUGUAUGUCACUCUGUGCAGCAUCUCAGUGGACAUUCAUUGCAAACAUCAUGGAUGGCAUAAAUGGAACUGGCAUUGACAGGGUCACCAUCCGCCAAGGAAACGGUACCCUCAAUACCAGCACGACCACUGGAACAGACGGAGAGAUUAUUACAGUAGCCACCUACAGCGCCUCCUGCUGUUCAGAGAUUGUAGAGCUGACUGCUGUGGACAAAGUGGGAAACGUGGGGACAUGUGUGGGGCGGUCUGGAGCACUUUCCACAGCUGCGCCACUUAAUUUGGUUUGGUUCUGGAUCAGUGUUGUGCUUUCUCUUCUCUGGAGGUAAAAGAAACGAAUGAAUGUCACUCUUCUAACAUAAAAUUGUAAAUACCAGACAGUUCUGGUAUCAUUAAGGGGGGUUUGGAUACUUAUUACUGUGGCUUGAAGAAAAUUCUUUGUUCUCUAUAUCUAAUCUAAAAUCUAUGUUACUAACAUCCCUCAAAAACCCUCUUUUGUAAAACUACUUUUAUGAUUCUACUGAAAGUUUAAAUUUUUAAGUUUUUGUUUUAAUAUCAUACAAACAUGUUGAUUCGUGUGUCUUUGCUGUAACCAUUUGUCAUUUUUUAGGGUGGUAGAAAACAAUAAAAAAGGGCUGUUCACACUGCUUCAUCUAUGUUUAACAGCACUUAUAGUCCUGUUGGUGUUGGUGGAUAGAGAGAAAGGUGUCAAUUUACAUAAAGACAUUGCAUAAGCUUCAUUAAGAGUAUGAUCUGUCUAUCUGUGUACAGUUUUUUAUUAUUAUUAUUUAACUUUGUCCUUACUCUUAAGGACUAUAUAAUAUAAAAUAUAAAGUCAUCCUUCUCAUGCAGUAAAGUAAAAGUGAAAGUAUUUUACCUGCUGAAGUACCUGUUAUGCAAGAAUGUCUCUUUUUAUGUUUUUAAUUAUGUUGUUCAGCUUUGUGGUAAGUGACCCCACCCAAAAGCUUUUAAUGGGUCAUUGUGUGAACAGCUAUUCACACAAUGACCCAUUAAAAGCAACAGAAAACACCUUAAAAACUUGAAUGUGGGAUUGAUUAUAGCCACAGACAAAGAAUUAAACAAAUCACAAAGAUAUAGUAAAGAAUGAAUAUAGAAGUCAACUAAAACACAAGCAAAAAGCAGAGCAAAAACAAAAGCACAAGGAUUGCCUGAACGAGAGGCAGCAGGACAGCAAUUCUGCUCCAAAUGCCUCUCCUUGCUGUAGGCAACUCUUGGACAUUUUCAACAUUAAGGAUCAGGUGAGGCUGAAAGUCAGUUGGUGACUUCAGCUGGGCAAAGAUACAGCUGUAACAUCCCCACCCUAAAAACAAUUAAAGAUAAUCUGUUAUGCAAAAACAAGUGUUAACAUCAUCACUGCACGCGCAAGUUUACUCGAAAGAAAUACAAUUAUCUAUUCAUUGAGUUAAAGAUACUGUGCAAAUUCUUCCAUUACUUACAAGAAAAUUCCUUGAACCAGUGUUUCUAACCAAGGCCGUACGUUAUAAAAUACUGUCAGUUGCAAAAGCACAAAAACACUCAAUUCACUAAAGCUAAAGCUAAAUGAAACUACAGCUGAGGAAGGUGUAAAUGGGUCAUGUUAAACAAAAUCUUAUUAACCAGCAUUAGGGCAAAAGAAGAUACUACAACCAUGUUUAAGCGCAUCCAUCAAAAAAAGUUGUCAACAAAGAGGGUGCCACUCCCACACAGAGCAAGACAGCUACUACCACAAGGUUAAUACAAAGAAUAAUAGAAUGAAACACUUUGGGCCUGAUCUACUAAAGGCUUUCCCGGCAAAAACUUGAUAGUGUAAGCAAACCUGAUCUACUAACCGGGUGCACCUAGGAUUGCAUCUGUCAAAUGAGCAAAACAGCACACACAACCAAUUUAGUGUGUUUGCCUUUAUGAACAUUCAGAUUGUAUGUAGAUCAUCAGAAUGUGCAAAAUACCGGGAGGAACAGAUGGGAUCAUUUAGUACCUGCAAUGUGAUUUAUCAAACACGGAAACCAAUUGCGGUUGCUGUUUUGCGUCUUUAUUUAGCAAGUUUUAAAGGCACGGUCAUUGUGGGGAGAAGGAGGCAGAGGUGCCAUGAUAGACGUCAUGAUCCUUGUCCAAAUGCCUGUGAUUUAUUUCGUUUUUUCCAAUAAAUAGGGAUUUUCAUAAAUAAUAAGGUCAGACACAGAACUGACGAAAAAACUGAUCUCUUUGUCUUAAUGAUUUUAAUCCCUUUUAUGAUUUCUAGUAUAUCUUCUUGCAUCUGUAAAGCACUUUGAGUUGCCUUGAGUAUUAAUGGUGCAACUCAAAUAAACUUGCCUUGCUUGCCUUUUAUGCAGUUCCCCAAAAUGAUAGGUACAUUUCCGUGGCUUCAAAAUUUAUUUUUUCAUUUAUGACCACACUGCUCUCACAAACUCUCCAUGGUGACGGCCAAUAGUGCACGCGAAAUCCUUGUUUAAAGAGGGCGGUCCGCACCGCUUUUGCUCCUGUUAUCAAUUGCACACUUAAUGAUAGUAGAUCACCCACAACACGCCCACUAAUAGCACAUGCAAUUUUUUUAGUUUGCACAAGCAAUUUAGCAUUCCCUAUUUAGGAUCUUAGUAGAUCAGGCCCUUAAUCUUUCAAUAUUUCAAAGUAACAUAGGUGACCCACACAAAAGUUGAGUGCAACAGUCACAAACCAAAUGGAUCAACACAAGCAGACUGAUUACACAUCUAACAGCUCCAGAAAGAUCCAACGAUAUUGACUGCCACUACCACAACACAAACCAUCAAGUCUUCAGAAGUCAUACUAGAUACUGUUACAUAUGAAGGCAACUAACCAAACAAGUUAAACUUGCAAAUGAGGAGGCUGCACCCACCAUUCUAAGAUCCAAUGAUCUGUGGAGUGACCCACAAGGUCACAACCAAACUGAAUUUGUCACAAUCAGGAAACAAAAGUGUGGACUGCAUCAUCCGCUACACAAAGAGGUCAUACUUUAGUCAUCUCUACACAAAUGUUGCAAAACACAAAGAACCAAAGCACAAUAAUCCCCUGAAUGAGAAGCGGGAAAGGGCAGCAGUUCCUUUAAAAUGCCUCACCCUACUGAAGACCGUGUUUGGACCUUAACCUUCCAGGACCAGGUGAUUAGCAGUUGGUGACUACGCCUAAGCAGAAUGAGGAAAGAGAAAAGGGGAAAAGAAGACACAACAAACAGUCAUAACAGUGAACAACUGCAAGGUUAGAUAAGCCUAAAAAUAUGGUGUUGAGCAUGACUGGAGGUGUGGUUUGUAACAUAAGUGACAUUUCAUUGACAUCAAAGGUAGUGAUUUCAAACAUCAACGGCCAGUGAGUGGGUGGAAUGAUGACAGUUCAUCAGAAUUUUACUGCUCUUAACUUCCCUGUAAACCAAGUAUUGUGUUUUCUACUGUUGUGUUGAUUGAAACUUUCCUUUCAAACGAUAAAAUCAUGUGUUAAAAAUAAGACCAGUGCAGAUGUGCAAAAAAUUUAAAGUUGCUUGAGUUAUCUAUUAAGGCUGCCGGUAAAAGCCAACAAUACCCUGACAACCAUCACAGAAGACUACUCCCCUCUUUAUCCCAAACCAAACGGAGCAUUUUAAGAGUGACAGACACUGAUUAUCUCCAGCUGAUGAUCAGGAAUUCAAGAGGGCUCAAGUAUCAGUAUCACCCAGAAACAGGAAGAUCUCUUAAACUUCUUUCAUUUUGAGUUUGCUUGCAUAGCUUCCUUCCUUUUUUUUCUGUGGAGAAAGGUCAGUUUUGUAAGUUUUUCAAUACUUCAUCACUUUUGGUUCACAUAGGGACUUAAAUACCUUUGUUAGAGUAAAUUUUUGUGGUAACAUUUCCCAAAGAGAAUAGAGAAGAUGAUGCUGACUUGUCUUUAACUUUGCUCACUGAAUAACCUCAGGUAUAUGAUGUCCACCCUCACAGUCACUCUAAAUCUCUUAAAAUUGAAAAUCAGACAACCUGCACCUGCUCAAGGUGAGUUCACCUGACAGAUAAGAUGGAAGAAAAAAAAUUGUACGUGCACCUGAGAGGCACUCCCACAACAACACUUCCAGUAAAGGGACGUAUAAAGGAAUUCUUUGAAGCCAAUUACUCAUUGCAAAUGCAACUAUAAAAAGACAGAAUCCAACCACUUGUCUUAGUUUCCUGAAAGGACUGGCAACACUCAACAAGCCAUGCCGACAUAGUGACACUGAAGUGGAGCCAACACCACUUCAGAAAAGGACUGGACUGCAGAGUACACACAGGUAAGACAGUGUCAAAUUGUACUGAUUGUCUGUAAAAUGAGUUGAUCUUAGUCUAAAUGUAUUAUUUUCUUUACUUAUUUAAAACUAUGUCUGCUGUGUACUUUAAUGAUGACAAGAAUCACUUUUUUUCUAUUUGUAGAAAUAGCCAUAAAUGUAGGAAAAUACAACAUACAAACCAUGAAAAGUCCCAAACAAGCACAGUGACAUUUUUAACUGUUUUAACUAAGCUUGUUUACUUAAAAACAUCCAAGUUUCAGGCAGUAUGACAAGUGAAGCAGCCAUCUACUUCUGUAAGAUUACUCCUGUGAAAGUUUGAGCCUGUGCCACUUUUAUUUCUCUCCCUUCUGCUCCCUGAGCUGAUUCUUCUUUUCCUCAGGCGAUUCACUCGUCACCUGUUGCCUCAUCAUACCUGCACCUCUAGAGUCCCUCUGCUGUUUCCUUAUUCUGGCAAAAUAUUUUUAAUCACAGAGAAGAGAGGACAAGAUAAACCUAAGAAAAACUGUUUUUGUCUGGGUGAGUUUUGGUGUUGCCAUUACCGCAACGAAACAAGGCAUGAUAUCUGGUUAAGAGAAGCAGAGGAAGACACAAGAGCUUGGACACUCCAUCUUCAUCAUCCUCAUCUUCAGUCAUGGUGCCCACACACACAGUCAUGAUCACAGCGGUGGUGAUCCUCUCCCUGUCAGGCUUCACUCACAGCUUCAAGCCACUGUUUGCUGGGAGCUCCUUAACUCAUCGAGUCAUCACGGCAAGGGCGGUGAUCAGAAAGACAGCUGAGGUCUGCAGAGACAUCGCAGCUGCAGAGGGACGAGACUUCAGCCUGACUGUGAGUUUCAGAGAGGAAUCAAAAUCCUAUAGAAGGAAUGUGAUUAAUUAGAAUAUCAAAUGUAAAUAUUGUAGGUUUUGUUCAUUUUUUGGACAUGGGGCCAGUGGAUCAGUUCAUAUUUUACUUCUGGUGAAACAACAAAAGUUAGGGCACACACUUUCACAGAUAGCUUUUCUUGGCUUAAAAGCUUAAAAUUUCUCACAAUGAUUUAAGAUUUUUAUUACAGAAAUUCAUAGAAGGAAAUUCUUAGCCUUCAGGGCCCACUGUCUCACACAGUGUUUCCUACAGAGGAGCUCCUAAUAGAGCUAUAAGUCUCUCUAAUGUUGAUGUUUAGUUAUCAAAUCACCAAGUGCUGGUGCAAUAAAGUUCGAAGGACUAGUUCUUUUUUAUUUGGAAUAGAUUUUUUAACAUGCAGCCAUAUCAACAAAUUGAUAUCUGUCAUGAUUUCAUCUCCAGAUUGAUGACAGUCUGACAGCUGGGAAAGUGGUGAGAGCCUGCUCCCCUGAAGGCUUCUUCAGCUCAAUCGUCUCUACCAUCAAGUUCCAAACCUCCAUUACCACUAUGUACUUAAGCAAUGGUAAAACGGAUCAGGUUUAUGCGCUAAGUGCAAGGCACCAUUUUGAUGCUGAGACUUUUGUAGAAGGACGGGAUGUCAUUACAUCAGGUAAACAUCAAACAAUGUUUCAUUACAACAUUGAAAUGUUGAAAUGCAGUGUCUCAUUUUUCGUAGAAAAAUAAACAUUUCCAGUUUUUCUUUUAAAAACAUUGAAAUGUUAAUUGUUGGAGAUAUACCACAUACUCAAAAGUCAAAUGACUUAACCCUGUUCAGUAAGAGCAGAAAACAGUGCCAACAUCAGCAACAUGACCUUUGAAGUCAGCCAAAGUAAUCUCUGUCAAACAGAAGUGUUGCUUCAGUGGGUUUUAGCUUGUCACAAGACUCACCGAGAUCAUAGUAAUGUCUUGUACUGACCUAUAAAAGUAUGCAUGUCCAUUUAAAUGGGAAAGACCACUUUAUUAUUUGUAAUGUAUAAAAACCACCUGUAGGGGCUGGAUAUGAGUCCGACUGAGUAACCACAUGCUACUAAAGCAACCAUUUUUUCAUUUCCCUUUCCCUUUCGGAAUAAAGCAGGAGGUGAUUUCUUAUCUAUUUAAUGUAUUCAUGUAUUUAUUUUAAAUCAAAAACCUUGUUUAUUUAAGGCAAAAUUAACUUCAAGAUAAAAGUGACAACUUUGUCCACAGGGGGUCACCCUAAUCAACACAGGUUGAAAGGUCCUGACAGGAGCAUUAACAUUAUUAUAAAGUAAGAGGUGACAGGACAUAGUAGCAGUUCUAGCUUGUGUCUUAGUUUCCUUAUCACUCUCUUUUCCAUGAGGUGUCUCUUCUGUGAAGGCCAGCGUCAAACUGGGAAAAUUUCUGACAGGGAGGUGGACUCUUGGAGGAAUCUUUCAUCCCUUACAGGUGAGACUGAUGAGUUAAGUUUCUUCAUUUAAAUGGUAAAAAAUUAAAGGCAUGGUUAGUAAGGGUAAUAAGUUUUAUUCUCUGUUCAUUUAGGACUUCUACAGUCACAGUAACUGGGUGGAGCUGGGGAGAACGACCCCGUACAGCACCCUGAUCAGACCAGACGAGCCUCUGAAGAAUCUUGCAGGUAGGAUACAGUUGUCUAUGCCAUUUAGUGACUCUAGUGAGAAGAAACACUGGACACGUGACUAACCCAAAACCACACACACACACACACACACACACACACACACACACACACACACACACACACACACACACACACCUGCACACAUCUUUACUAUUUCAUAUUCUCAUUAUUGUUUACUGCAGGCCCAAAUACCCCAACCUGUAGAGACUGUAUUGAUGGAGACUGCACAGACAACAUUUUGCCUGAAGUGCUGAGUCAGGGGCUUCUCACCUCAGGCUACUUCAGCAUACUACCAUUCAAACCUACAGGUAUCUUCAAUAUGUCAUCUGCACACUGUAGAGUUUCACUAGCAUGUAUACUCAAAAAACUUUUGUAGGUUUCAUAAAAUCUGUUUUUCUUGCUUAAAGGUAAAUGCAGUCAUGGUGGAUUUCCCGACACCACCAGUUUAUUAAAGCCAGUUGGGGGAAUCAACAAGGACACUGUCAAGUCCAAUCAUGGCUUCCUUCACGAAAAAGCUGCUGAUCUGGCUGUGAAAGCCACCAUGGAGCUGUUGGAGGACAUCAGAGUGGCUGUAGGAGACAAGAGUUUUCUGCGGUAAGGGACACCUUCCCCUGCAGCACUUUUGGAGCAUAUAAAAGAAAAUCAAAGACCUGAAAGACCUGAUCACUGACAGUUAUUUAACUCCUAAUAUUUGCCUUUCUCUCAUUCUUGCAGGUUGAUGGGCAUCUCCCAGUCCUCUGUGCUGUGUUUUGUCAUUGACACUACAGGCAGUAUGGCUGAUGAUAUAGCCGAGGCCAAGAGAGUUUCCUUUGAAAUCAUUGACAGAAAGAGAGGAACCCCACUGGAACCGUCCGACUACAUACUAGUACCUUUCAACGACCCAGGUACACACAUAUGUAGCUCAUAAGUAAAUAUUGUCAUUGCUUUUGGGGGACAGUGGAUGUUGAUGUUUUCUGUUUUAUUUUCUAGGUUUUGGUCCUUUAAUUCAAACAACUGAUGCAGAUGUCUUCAAAGACCAAAUCAAUAGGCUGACUGCAUCUGGAGGAGGAGACACCCCUGAGCUUUCCUUGUCUGGACUGCAGGUGUUCACGUGAUCAGUUUCCACAAUUCAUCAUUCACAUAAACAUCAAAGUAUCACAAGUAACAGAAGCAGAUGAUCAAGUCAUGAAAGGAUUUAACAUAACAUCAUAAAAAAAUGUACUGAAGUUUAUGGAAAAAGAUCUUUCAUCAAUAACAUUUCUGAUAUGUCAUCUACAGCUUGCCUUGACUGCUGCUCCACCUUUCUCUGAUAUCUUUGUCUUCACUGAUGCACCGGCUAAAGAUGCUCACCUAAAAGGCACAAUCACUGCUCUUAUAGAGAGCACCAAGUCUGUGGUAAAAUCACUUCUAGUCAAAGCCCAGAUUCUAAAAAUUACUCUUUUACUCCAUAUUUCACAGACAUAAAAACGUGCUUUGAUAUUUUUGUAAAAAAAAAAAAAAAACUAAGCAUCUUAAAAAGUGAAGCAGUGCAGGCCCUCAGUGAUGUUUUUGUUGUUGUAUUUUUUAACCUCAUGUUUGUAGGUAACUUUCAUGCUCACUGAUGUCCUGAGCUCUCGCCGGCGCCGCAGAGACCUUGGUCAGCAAGUGUCCUCGCGCAUUAUUAGCCAAUCAGACACCCAACUGUACCGUGACCUCGCCCAGGCCUCAGGUGGUCAAACCAUCGAGGUCUCAAAACUAGAUCUGUCUCUGGCUACAAGUGUCAUAGAGGAUUCAUCGGCCAGUGCUGUGGUGAGACACUGAGAAAGAAUCUUACUGAAUUGAUUUUUUACUUAAGAGUAUGUUUUUACAUUUACUGUCUCUCUUUCUCCUUAUUUUAGGUGACAGUUUUCCAGGUGGUGAAGAAUCCUGGCAGGCCUGAUAAUUUCACAUUUACUUUAGAUGAUUCCCUGAAGAACGUAACUGCCUAUGUUACAGGAGCCUCCUCUCUCAGCUUCACUCUCACCAGCCCUUCAGGUGUUGUUUCCACUGUUGAUUCUCAAGUUAAAACUAGUUUUGUUCCAAAUCUAAGUCACCUUUUUCCAAAAAAUUAACCAAAAGAACCUUUAGAUUUGUUAGUGUUAGUAAGCAAAUGACAUCUUUUCUUCUUUCUCAGGUGUAUUUCAGAACUCCAGUCAGGCCAGUGGUCCUCUGGCCUCCAUCACCACAGUAGGAAACCUCCGUCGGUUAAGAUUCAACAGUGACAAUCAAACAGGAUUGUGGAAAAUCGGUGUUGAUUCUAAUAGCCAGUACACUGUUAAAGUCACAGGUCAGUGUUAUGGAUAUUUUGCGUCUGUUUACAGUUGUAUCAGCUUUGUGGCAGCCCUUACUAUCUGUUUGUUGUGUCUAUAUUAAAGGUCAAAGUUCAGUGAACUUCAUAUUUAAUCUUGUGGAAGCAAAUGAAGGAAUCCAUGGAGACUUCAGUCUGAAGGAGGGACGUCCUUUUUCAGGUCCGAUCAAAUAUUAUUGCCCUGAUCUUUUUUUUUUUCAUUUCAACAUGCUUUACUUACUUGAGCACCUAUCACUUAUCUGAGACUUUUCUCUGUGUGGUCCACAACAUAAUAAAAAUUCAUAAUUGUUACUCUGAAAAUCUGCAUUUUCAUCAACCAGUGAAAAAGGUCGGAGUAAAACUAUGACACCUUAACCAUACUAAUUGCUUAAAUAAAGUUAAAAAUUGUGUCACACUGCUUAUGCAGUUUCUUUCUCUCUCCUGCCCACACUCUCAGGUGGUAACAUCAGCCUCUUGGUCACUGUGACAGGAAGUGACACAGUGAAUGUCACAGAGUUAACCCUGUUUGGCAACUCGGGGCCAACAGAGGUUGAUGGAACUUUGCAGGUAUGUGUUAGCCAGCGUGUAUUUCUUACCCCCUAUUUCCACCUUAUCUGGAACGGCUCCACUACGGAAUCCUGAGGCCAGCUAUCCUCAGGACACCCUGGCUGCACCUAGCAAUUCUGUCCAUAAAAGUUCUCAACAGAAUCGAUGAAAAAGAGCAGCUCUGGCGGAGUCCAACCCUCACCGGAAACACGUCCGAGUUACUAACCCUUGUGGUCCAAGCUCUGGCACCAGUUGUAGGGAAUGAACAGCCCUUGUUAGGGUGUCUGUUACCCCAUACUCCCGGAGAACCCCCCACAGGAUUCCCAGGGGGACUCCGUCAAAUGCCUUCUCCAAGUCCGCAAACACAUGAUGUUGGGCAAACUCCCAUGCACGCUCGAGGAUCCUGCUGAGAGUGUAGAACUGGUCCACAGUUCCAUGACCAGGGCAAAAACUGCAUUGCUCCGCUUAAAUCUGAGGUUCAACUAUCUAGCAAACCCUGCUAUCCAGGACCCCUGAAUAGGCCUUUCCGGGAUGAGGAUGAGGAGUGUGAUCCCCCUUUUGUUGGAACACACCCUCCGAUCCCCCUUCUUAAAAAGACCACCACCCCGGUUUGCCAAUCCAAAGGCACUGCCCCCGAUGUCCACACGAUGUUGCAGGGUUGUGUCAGCCAUGUCAGACCCACAACAUCCAGGGCCCUGAGGAACUCAGGGUGAAUCUUGUCCACCCCUAGGGCCUUGCCACCAAGGAGUGUACUAACCACCACAGCAGCCUCAGCCCAUGAGACAGAAGAGCCCACAUCCAAGUCUCCCAGCCCUGCUUCCAAAGGGGUUGGGUGCAAUGUGAGUUGGGCAGCAGCCUAAAGUGGACACCUUGGCGAUCCAAAUUUCUGCUGCAGAGGGUAGUACAACAACUUCCAAAACAGCAAUUUGUGCUGUCACUGUAGGUCAACUUUGGCGCCCCCUGUGGACAAAGGGUCAUUUUUGUGACACUUUGUCACAUUCUGUUUGCUAAACCUUGUCCCGCACUGUACUAUUUUCUAAAAUCUAAUCCUAUUUUGUUUUGAAAGUCAAACAUGUUGGUCAUUGUGGUGUGGGAAAUAGUAGCAGUCUAACCUCUUUUUGUCUUCCACUUCUCUGCACUGUCUACAUUGUGACAGCAUAAGUCUCUCCCUUUUCUGUCUUCACAGUCAGAGGGGAGUGGAAACUUUCUAGUGACAUUCAGUGGAGUCCCUGCUGGUGAGUUUGUGGUUCGUCUGAAAGGAGUGGACAGCAGCUCCACCUCCAGAAUGACAGCAAGCACCAUCCAGAGACAGGCCUCUACACAGAUCAAGACCUCCAGCAUCUCUGUAACUGUGAGUGUAAUAACCUUUUCCGUCCCAUUAGUUUGAUAGGUAUUACUCACGUGUGAGAUACUGAGUAUAAGAUACUCUUGGAUGUGCUUUGCAAGGAACCAUCACUGCUUCCUCCCUAUAUCCUUGGCCCUCCUUGGCAAAAGUGUCUGAUUAUGUUUUGACACUUCCUGAUGGUUAUAUUAGGACUCCAUGUGUCAAUGUUGAUCUACAAAACAAAGGAUGUCUUCAUGGCACUGUUUCAAAGUGUUUUUUUUUUUUUUUUUUUACCUCAUAUUGCUUGCCUACUUUGACUACACCAAGACCCUGGAAACAAAGAUAGAAAACAUAUAUCAUCAUGCUACUUCUAUUCUUUCAUCAGUGCUUCUUUCUUUUAUUUUACACAUUUCUAUCCUUUCACCUUUUCAGGCUCAGGUCAAUAACACCAGCAUAGAGCCAGACUCCACUGUCUCCAUCCCUUUCACUGUCACCACCACCACCAAUGGAGUUGUUGAUGAAUCUGCAACCGGGACAUUCACAGUACGAGCCAACAAUGACCGCAGCUAUGCUACGUCCUCACCCAGCACUGUCACCAUAGCAGGGGGCAGUGGAGGCAAAGCCAAUGGCACUGUAACAUUAACGGUACCAGCCAAUGCUGCUUCAGGAACAGAUGUGACCCUCACUAUCGAGGUAGAAAAUGCAGCCACCACUGACAUCAACUUUGAGGUCAUCAGGCUGUCUGUGACUGCCAGGGUAAGAAAAAAAACCCAGGUUGUAUACUUUGUUGAAGAAUGCAUAAUAGAUGAAUAAGUUUGCGCCCCUUUUUUUGGCAGAAUUAUUUGCUACACGAAUGAUAUUUGGUCAAUUUCAUCAAAACCUUGAAGAUAAACUGUUUUGAAUUUAAUAUUGUGUAUAAAGAUACUUUUUUUUUACAAAAUCACAAUUAGAUUCAAUCACUAAUUAAGUUAAUAUCUCUUGACCAAAGGAAAAAAAAUGGCUUAGCUGGCUUGCAGUAUUGGUCCAAAGCUGAUGUGCAAGUGUGUUCCAGAGAGCAUUCUUCAGAAUAAAACAGCAUAAUAUCAUCAGCAUAUUGCAUCCACUUAUAAUGGAGAUGAUAUUGCAUAUUCGGUUGUUUUAUAUAUAAGAGAGACACUGUUUAUUGGUAGAUAAAACUCUUUUGGGAAGUUUAAUAAUUUGACUCACUGGAAUGUAUCUGCAUUGCACUUCACUGCACAAUAUCCAGCUUGUUACCAGGCUACCAACUACAAAUAAGAUAACACAAGAUAUGAGUUUUACAAUUUGAAAAUGAUACAGUUAGAAACAAAAGUUGUGUUAUUAGCCUACGUACUGGUCAAACCAAAAUCAAAGUUUUAUUUGUGCCAUAGUCUUCACAUUAGCCUGCUUUGCUGUUACAGAUCACAGUAAAAUAAAGAUUUUCAUCCAUGGUUAGUAUAACAUCAGAGUAUUUUUGUUGGUAUUCUUAUCAGAUGCAGAAAAAAGCAGCAUCUGUAUAAUUUUUCACUGUAACCUUUCAAACAUUUUCUACCCGUUUAACCAGUCUUGGCCAAAGCCUAUACUGUGCUGCAGUUUCGGAUUGCUGCAUGCUGUUUUCUUCAAUUUAGUUUAUGUCUUUCACUCAGCUGCUUAUGUGUUUUUAUUAACAUCAUUUGCUAGUUUAUCCUUCCCAUCUUGUUUUCUGUGCUGUUGACUAAACAACAAAUUUUCAGUUUUGCACUCUUCAGAUUUGUCAAGAGUCACAUCUGAAAUAUCCUCAAGAUUGUUUAUUGAAAUAACAUUUAUCACAUUGUCAACAGGAUGAAUUAUGUUUGAUAUAAAGUCUGUGUUUUGGUUGUCCUUGGUGUUGAGGGUCAUCACGAUCAUGUUGUUAGAAAGGUUUUAACUAAUCAAAGCCAAGUACUUUACUCAGCCAGGUGAUAAGUUGAUAUCUCCUUCUUAUCUCUUCCUUUUCGGUGUUUGCCUCCCAGGUUACAGACGUUACCCGCCCGGUGUGCCAGGAAGUCAACACAAUAAGCAACUGUUCAUCUUCUAUGUCACUCUGUGCAGCCUCUCA